GAGCAGUUCAAGGGCACACCAAUUGCACC
rnacentral:piRNA from 1 species